CAAAGCCGAGCCUGCUUUUGCCUGUGUAUGAAAACUGCCGGGAUUGUGUGAAAUCCCAGCAGUUCCUCAGCAGCAAACCCGCCUCUGGAGCCACCCUCUAAAAUGGGGUUAAGAGAGCAAGCACUCUCUUAACCCCAUUUUUCUGAUUGUUUGCUAGUCCCAGCUGCUUUCAGCUGGGGCUGGCAGAUGGCGGGGCUCCUGGCUGGCUUCAGGGACCGAGGGGGAUCCCCAUAAUGUUCACGAGGUGCAUUAUGUGAGUUCUGUGGGGGGCCAGGCGACAUGGAGUGAUGCAUCCUGGCACCCCGACCCUUCGAGCUACUGGCAGCAGCCAGCAAUCAUCUGGGCGGGCAAUUCUCCUGCCCAACAAAUAGGAACAGAUCGUCUGCAAGGAGGUAAGAUUUUUAAGGCUUCUCCCUGCUGACCCUGUAGCCCUUUCUCACCGAUUGUGAGAAAGGGCUCACUGUAUACCAAAACAUUGACAAUAUGUAAAUUUAUCAAUUUUUUUAAUCAGUUGAUGGCUCCACUUUUGAAGGCUUCAUGCAAAACUGGUAAAUGUAUCUCUAUAUUGCAUUGCAUCUCUGUACUUUCUGAUCUAAUCUUUUGAAUAGCUAUAUAUAUUCUGUCCAUCACAUUUUACUUUCAAAGCUAAACAAAGUACAUCCACAUGCACAUGUUCAUUACUCAGUCAUUACAACAUCAACUGAUUACUUACGUGGUAAAGCAUUUAUUGCAGACCAAAUGCUACAGAGAAAGCUUUCAUAUAACUACAAACACUAAUUGUUAAUGGAAACAGUUCACAUAUUCAUCUGUGAGCUAUCAAGAGUGAAGUCAUCAAGUGAUGUAUAUGUAAUUGUGAACCUGUUUUCAUUAUUAUCACUGGACCAACAAGAAACUAGGUGCUAUCAUGCUCUAAUUCAUCCUCUGGAAAGCAUCGGGACUCUCAUAAUGCUUUGUGGAAAUUAAAACACUUUGGUUUCAGUAUCUCACUAUACAACAAACUAUACCAAAUAAAAUGUGCUUCUUUGGUGACUUCAGAUUAUACUUCAGAUUAAUAUGAGGAUAACAGAAAUCUAACCCAUUCCUACAGAAAAUGGUUGUGCUGUUCUACCUUUGACUUGACAAUGUAUGGGAACUGAGAACACAAAUGAUCCUACUUAAGUUGUAUGGCUCUUUAAUCAAUCAUAUUCCUAAUGAGAAAUCUCUGCUUCCUAUUAUUAACUAACAUGCCUUGUUCUGUUUCCUAUUGUGAGGUUCAGCAGUCAACAGAGCUGUCCAAAAUUAUUCUUUAUUGAAAAACUCUGUUUAUUGAAAACCAGUUUCAAUAAACAGAGCUUAUUUACAAUAUUUAUUUAUUUAUUCAAUAAACAGAGCUUAUUUACAAAAGCCCUUUCUGUUGUAUUUAGACAUGGUAACCUUAUUUAAUGCCUUUCUGUAGGCAUAAGGCAAGGCUGUGAUAGCUCACAGCAAGGUGAAGCAAGUCACCUCAAAUGGUGGAUCUGGGGAAGUGGCAAUUUGGAACCACCUCCUCUGCUCACUCACUUCUGCUGUGGAAGGUGGCACCACAGAGCCACCAGCACCCCCCUAGCCAGCCCAACUCUAUGGACAGCACCACUCUAGACGACCUUUGUUGGCAGAAAUACCUCAUCCUCUCCUGCUUGCUCUUUCCUCUCCAUCACUUCUACCAAUGUCCAUCACAGCGGUGCUCUUGCCCACUGCCAACCAGCAUAAAAGAGCAGAGGCAAUGCAGCAGGAACAAUCAAGUAAGCGGGUGUGAAUGAAUGUGCAUGUGGGGGGAUGAGGGGCAAAAUUUGCAAAAUUUCUGAUGCCAACAUUUCUUGUGCUGCUACUGAUUUCAGGCUAGACAUCUGCAAUGCAUUUAUUCAUGGACUGCCCCUGGUGACUGUAUGAAAGCUUAACACAGUAGCUUGCCUCUUGGCAAGUAUUAGUUAAUGUGAACACAUUAUAUGAGUACUCAGGAUGUGCACUAGCUUCCAUUAAUCUUCCACCACAAUAGUUUUACCAGUACCUAUUGGCCAAACUAGACUAUACACCUAUUGUGUGAUUUGGGCCUGUGUACUUGAUUUUUAAAAUGUAAAUAGCAGUCAUGUGGAGUCAUGUGGGGACUUUAACCAUUUGCCCCACUAUGGUCAUUUCCCCCAUGGCUGCUAUAUGACCUGGGUUGGUGUGUGUGUGUGUGUGUGUGAGAAAACAUUCCAAUUGGAACCCAUUUUCCAAGAGCAAGCAGCACAUGUGGGGAAGGGAUGUCUGAACCUUGGUCAAGCAACACAGCUGGAGGCACAAGUUCUCAUACUGAGCUGUUGAACCAGUAAAAGGCUGGAAUCAAGUGAAGGUGCUUAUAGCCAGGAAAGGUACUAUCCCUUCCUCGAUCUUCAGGCCCACUCUGCUCUAGAGAAGGUUCCUGAGCUAGCUUCUCCCUCCACUUGAGUAGGUCAGUUGGGAGGGAGGUCUCAGGCUGCUAGGUGUGCACUCCAUCUUCAGAUUGGGGGCUCAACGCUGGCAUGGUGUUGCCUCCACUCCUGGAAACUCAGGGGUGAUGGAGCGGGUGCUGUGCCGAGGAAGAGACAGGGACUCCAUGGGGAGAACACUGGGUCCCUUGUGCUCCAGGGCUCCUUGAAGGGGGUAACCAGCUGGCUUUUUCAGUUCCAAAGGACUUGGAGGUCAGAAUUGGGGAUCCCAGUUGGAGCAGGAUCCUCUUCUGAAAGGGUCUCCUCUGGGUUGGAGUCUGGAUGAACUCUUGCAAGAGAAUGGUUGCAUUCCAGAUCAGGACUGUGAGAGAGAACAAACCAGUCUCCCUCCACCUGCACUACUAUGGCCCCAAUCCAGAUUGGGGGUCCCCACAUGGCUGCUGCUUACAUUUGAAAAAUCCACCACACAGCCCUGAGUCACAUGAUGCUGUACUGCCUAGUCUGUCCCUACCACCUUCCUGUUUGUAAAUUCUCUAAAAUGGACCAAAAAUAUUAUUAUCUGACAUCAUGCCAGUCAGUCAAACUUUAUUGUAUUUAGCCAUCACAAUAGGCCAUCACAAUAACAUGGAAAUGACAACAGGGACAACCCAAUGUGCAUAUCAAUUGCUCUAAAAUCAUAAUAAAAUAUACUUCCAAUACAGAUCUCUUAAUUCUUUUAAAAAACGCAAUGGGCUGUUAAGGUUUUUAAUUUUUUAACAACCCCGUAGCUUCUUUGCAGCUAAAUCAAAUAGAGCAAUCAUAUGAGUAAUAAAUGGCUGGUUAUCAUCUAGCAUUCCCACUAAAAUAUCUUGGAAACUCUUACCUGAAUGUUAUUUAUUUAUUUCUAUUUUAUUAUUUACAUUUCUAUACCACCCCAUACAAAAACCUCCCUGGGUGGUCCAGAAGAAAGGAUGAACUAAACCUUCUGCCUGAUUGCAACCCAAAAUGCAUUUCCAUUCCACCCACAGGAUGCCUAGACAUCUCCGUUCAAGGGAAUUAUUCUAUGUCAUCUGAAGCACCAAAACAUUUAACUAGGGAUGUGGAAAAUGGCCAUGAAUAUGAGUCCAGAGAGCAACCAUGAGUGAUGAGCAGUGAAAGCAGUUUGCUGUGCUGUCUUGGACUACCCACAUGAAUUGAGGAACUGUGACUGUGUGAAGGAGCAUGUGUGCGAUCUCUGCAUCUUUACAUCAAUGCAUUCAAGAUACAGAUUAAUUAACAGCAGUAAUAUUCCAGCCAACGUUUACAUGUACAGAUGAAAAAACAGCAGCAUCACAAACGGGCAGUGGUGGCAGCAAUCUGUAUCUAUCUAUCUAUCUAUGCAUUUCUGGGAAAGGGUAGCAUUUUCCCAUAUUAUCUUAAAAUGAAAAAACAACAAUAAUUUAUUUAUUUAUUUAUUUAUUUAUAAAAAUAAAUAAAUAAAUAAAUAAAUAAAAAAUAAAUUUCAUGUUAAUGGAAACAUCCUGCACUUAAGUGGAAGUGAGCCAAUCAAUAACUACUCUUUGUCAGAAUUGAUAUUCUGUAUAUAUUAAUAAUAAAUAAAAGUGGUUGGGGUAUGUGAACAGUGUCUUUCCAUCUAGGACUCAAAGGUGCCAAGCAAUGGAAGUGGAGCUGAUGGAGGGUCCCAAUAUUUGUCAUGGGGAUGUCUGCUUGCCCACUCUCCAUCCCUUGUCAAGAUUGUUCAGGAACUAAGUCAUAAAAACGGAUGCUGAACAGAGAACAACUUUAUUAUCAAGAAUGAUUUAGGUGGCAAUACUUCCAUAACUGUCUCAUUCUGAAUGCAGUGCUACCUAUGGUUGGAAUUGUUGCAGAAUGUGAGCUGUCCACAUCGUUUUCAGAGCAAACACCAGUGCAACUUUUACGAUAACUUUACUUGUGAGACGAAUGCUUAGAGGUCAGUAUAGAACUUGUUGACUCACACACAGGAACAGCUAGGAGAAUAGAAACUCCUAGCUCAACCAGUAUUGAGGAAGCUACAGUGCCCCCUCUGGCUUCAUAGCAGAUUACAUGCAAACUAUACACAGCAAGUUAGGCUGCAGCUGUUGCAUAUCCCAACAGGAAUACUGUUAUUGCAGAUAAACUGUCUUAUAACACGCCCUCCCCACCCCACUCUUUCACGCACACACACAUACACAUGAUGGUGCUGCCUAUACAAACCGGGCCAGUAGUCACUGGCAUGGUUAGCAUAGAAUAGGGCAGUACAACCUGUGACCAGUCAUAGGCGGGGCUGAGUGGGCUGGCUUAUGUCCCAUAGCUGCCUCUCAUUUGCACUCUUCCCAGCUUGCCCUGGCUGCCUCUCCCUCCCUCCCUCACACACACACACACACACACCCCUCACCUUGCCACAGUGUUGAUCCCAGGUGCAUGGUACACCUGGUGAUUGACCCAGCCCAUGUGCUUGGGCUUACCGCCAUGGUGGGGUGAGAUAUGAGAGACAGAGAGGUAGGCAGGCAGCCAGCCAGCCAGCCAGCCAGCCAGGGCAGAGUGAAAACAAGAGGCAACUGCAGCGAAUGAGCUGCUCUCCCAAUCCCCCUUGCACAGGCCCUGACUGCCUGUGACCCAGCCUGCCAGGUGUAUGGCAAUCCCCAUAUUUUCAGUCCCAGGCGGACAGCAAAACCAGAAGGUUUAUCAUAUACUUGACAAGCCACAAAACAAAGCUAGUGAGCUACAACUGGCUCGAUGGAGCACAGAUAGUACAGGCCAUUAACAGGAAAGGCACUCUUGAAACCCAGUCCUAAACACGUUAGAGUACACUGGGCUUUCUGAGCAAACAGGUUUAGAAUUGGGCUGCAAGAGUCUCUUCUUUAUGCUACUGUAGGUACUACCUGCAGCUGUAUUCUAAGCAAACAUGCAUAGGAUUGUGCUGUAUAUGUCAAAGCUGCAGAAAAGAGCUCAUUGGGGAGAGGAAAGGUGAUGGAAACUGUUCUUUUACAGAAAUUAUACUGUUAUUUUACAACAAAUACAGCAAUUAGACUGUUUUGUUACAGACUGAAUGUUCCGAUGUUUGGGUUUUUGUGAGUAGUAGAAUAUAUUUUUGUGAACGCAGACUAUAACUUAAAAUUGCAGUUUUUAGUAUAUUUUCACCUUUGUUGGCUGCCAGCACUCAACAGUAGCUUGGAAGAAUCAUUAUUCACAGACCAUAUUUUCUAUACUGUUGUACUCAAGUAUAGAAUUUGGAAUGUCUUUCUAUCUGAGAAGAAAUCAACUUGAUGUAUGAAUGGCUCAUUUGAUGUAAUCUAUGUUAUAGUGUACUAAUUUGUACUCAUAAGUGAGAUUUGGAAUGCACACACCAUAAUUGUUAUGGUAUCAUUAUUCAGCCUGGUUUUGAAUAGUUAGUUUGCUACAUAAUGACCAAAUAUGUCGUUAUUAUUAAUUAUUGUAGCCACAAACUUGGCUUUAAAAAUCUAUUAUGUGCAAAUGCAUAAGAUCAUAAAAUUACAAAUACAUAGGUAAUUGUUGGCAUACUAAAGUCACAAUGAGAUUAAUAUAAAGUAAUUAAAUCUUAAUUGAAAUAAAUCAGUUUUCUCAGAUGGUUUAUCAAACUCAGCAAAUAAUAUGGUAGCAUGUCUUAAAAGUGCAAACAUAUCACAAUUAUAGGCAUCCUAUUUAUAUAUACAUCCUUACUGGGGCUUGGCAAACCAGUCACUAAAAUACCAUUUAAACUUUUUUUUUAAAAAAAGUCACAUAAUAUUUCAGUUAAAAAUUCAUAUCUGCUUUUGUAUAGCUGGCUUGAAAUUUCAUUUUGAACUGAACUUUUAACACAUGUUGACAUUCUGAAUUUGGAAUAUCGAUUCUGAAAUCGCAUGUUUCA